AUCUUGGGAAAUUUCAUCGUGAUGGGGGAUAGAUCAUUGCAAUUGUUGGUCUUCAACGAGGAAUGCCUAGUAAGCGCGAGUCAUCAGCUCGCGUUGACUACGUUCCCUGCCCUUUGUACACACCGCCCGUGGUUCCUACCGAUUGAAUGGUCCGGUGAAGUGUUCGGAUCGGGGGGAACGGGGGCGGUUUCCCCCCCCCCCGGACGUCGCGAGAAGUCCAUUGAACCUUAUCAUUUAGAGGAAGGAGAAGUCGUAACAAGGUUUCCGUAGGUGAACCUGCGGAAGGAUCAUUGUCGUGACCCUGACCAAAACAGACCGCGCACGCGUCAUCCAUCCCGCUGGGCGACGGCUCCGUUGUUCGCUCAGCCAAAGUCCUCGAUAACCACCUCUCUUCGGAUAAGUGGCUCGGGGUAAAAGAACCCACGGCGCCGAAGGCGUCAAGGAACACUAUGCCGAACCCGGGGACGCGGCUGGCUUGCUGGCCGCCCUCGUGUUGCAAUGCUAUUUAAUCCACACGACUCUCGGCAACGGAUAUCUCGGCUCUCGCAUCGAUGAAGAACGUAGCGAAAUGCGAUACCUGGUGUGAAUUGCAGAAUCCCGCGAACCAUCGAGUAUUUGAACGCAAGUUGCGCCCGAGGCCUUUUUGGCAAAGGGCACGCCUGCCUGGGCGUCACGCCAAACACGCUUCCAACCCAUAACCUGGGCCGGAACGCGGCAUGUGGCUCUCCGUCUCGCAAGGGGCGGCGGGCCUAAGAUUUGGCUGCCGGCGUAUCGUGCCGGACACAGCGCGUGGUAGGCGAUCUCGCUUUACUAAUCGCAGUGCAUCCAACACGUAGUUGGCUAUAUGGCCUCAACAUACCCUAUUAACGGAGCGCAGGACGCUCCGACCGCGAACCCCAGUCAGGCGGGACUACCCGCUGA
rnacentral:misc_RNA from 1 species